rnacentral:snRNA from 13 species
AGCUUUGUGUAGUGGCAAUAUCAUAGCCAAUGAGGUUUAUCCAAGGUACAGUUAUUGCUAAUUGAAAACGUUUCCUGCCAGGUGCAUUGGGUCACGCCUGUAAUCCCAGUACUUUGGGAGGCCAAGGUGGA